GCAUGAGGAGAGAAUUUCGCUCAUCUUGCACCAAGGGAACGUGUUGCAUGAGAAACACUUACUCUGGUUUCUCAGUCUGUUUCUUAGUGCCGGUUUGAAGUUCCUUCAGUUUUCACUG